GAUGAACGCUGGCGGCGUGCCUAAUACAUGCAAGUCGAGCGAACGGACGAGAAGCUUGCUUCUCUGAUGUUAGCGGCGGACGGGUGAGUAACACGUGGAUAACCUACCUAUAAGACUGGGAUAACUUCGGGAAACCGGAGCUAAUACCGGAUAAUAUUUUGAACCGCAUGGUUCAAAAGUGAAAGACGGUCUUGCUGUCACUUAUAGAUGGAUCCGCGCUGCAUUAUCUAGUUGGUAAGGUAACGGCUUACCAAGGCAACGAUGCAUAGCCGACCUGAGAGGGGGAUCGGCCACACUGGAACUGAGACACGGUCCAGACUCCUACGGGAGGCAGCAGUAGGGAAUCUUCCGCAAUGGGCGAAAGCCUGACGGAGCAACGCCGCGUGAGUGAUGAAGGUCUUCGGAUCGUAAAACUCUGUUAUUAGGGAAGAACAUAUGUGUAAGUAACUGUGAACAUCUUGACGGUACCUAAUCAGAAAGCCACGGCUAACUACGUG
rnacentral:rRNA from 1 species